GCGGAUGGCUGGAUGGCUGCGGGCGGUAACGUCCGAGGAAAGUCCGGACUCCAAAAAGCACGGUGCCGGGUAACGCCCGGCGGGGGUAACCCUAGGGAUAGCGCCACAGAGAACAGACUGCUCUGCAUGCAGAGUGAUGGUGAAACGGUGGGGUAAGAGCCCACCGCGCGAGCGGUAACGCAAGCGGCACGGCAAGCCCCACCGGGAGCAAUGCCAAAUAGGGACUGCGCGCCGCAAGGCAGGGGGGCUUGAGCCCGAGCAGUCCGGGUUGGCAGCUAGAGGCCGUCUGGCAACAGGCGGUCAAGAUGAAUGGUCAUCCAUUUGGGGCAACCCAAAGGACAAAAUCCGGCUUAUAGGCCGUCCGCGCAU
rnacentral:RNase_P_RNA from 1 species